AUAUAUUAUAAUACAAGAAAUUUAGUUCCAACAUAUCCAAGCUGUCCCUUCAGAAGGUGAUCAGAAGCGAGAAAUGAGUUUGGAAAAGAAAAGGAAUAGGUGAACAAAAGAAAGAGUUUCUGCAAUAAAGCCUUAAAAGAGAAUAAAAAUGUGGAAAAGUGAAGGUAGACACUGGAGCUGCAUUUAAAUAGUUCUUAGGAGUCCAAAGCAAAUGAUUUCAGGAAUCUAAACCCUGAGAAAACAUGGGGAACAGAGAAUAACUUUUGCUGUGAGAUAUCUGCUUCUGCAGUGAGUAGGGAAACAAGUAGAAGAUAAAUCUGAGGCCAACUACUUCCUUGGGAAACACCACCAUCUCUCAGCCAGCAAAGACAGAACCAGAGAGAGAGACUGCAAGUUCAGGAAGAAAGGUUCCAACUACUUUUACUCUCUGUUGCAUCUCCUAAUGUCAUCACUUUCUCAGAGCAGGGUUUAGUCACUACUACAAAACAUUGCUCAGGAACUGCAGAGCCACUAGCCUGGCAUGUGGUGACAUUCCCAACACAAUUCUCUAACAUUCUGAUUUCCUUUCCAAAAAUAAAUUCAAGCAAAAUUAGAACUCUUAAAGAUCAGAUUGAGAUUGAAUGCCAUUGGCUUUCUCCCCAUACCUAUGCUCCUACACAUCUCUUCAGCCCAGCACAGGGUUUUAAAGCUCACUGCUUACACAGGGCUAUCUCCUCCGCUGGUUAUGAGCCGCAAGGACAGAGUCCAUGUCCUGUUUGUGUUGGUGUUCCUGGCCACUAGCCAAGAACCUGCAGCCCAGCCCUAGAAUAGCAGCUGAAUGAAUGUAGCAGCCCACACAUUCAAAGACACCAGAAUUAUCUUACCCUUUCCCAGAGAGCUUCAGGUACCUUUCUAUUCCUAAAUGAGUCACUAAUGUGUCUGUAUAAUUAUGGUUUCCAUAUGUGAUGCAGAGCCCCAAAAUUUCAUCUUACUGUGGUUUACUUUCUGUGAUUGCAUUUUAUUAUAAAAUAUCUUAUAUAAAAGGGGAUAUAACAGAAGGGAAAACAGUAAAGCAAAACCCAUAUCUAGCUUCAGAGCAUUACAUAUCCACUGGAAACCCUAAAGCAAUGCUCCAUGAGCACACAGCCUUUCCACUGCAUAGCCCUGAGGUCAUUUUUUGAUACAUAAUUCUCAAACUAUGUAAUGCUGAAAGACCUUGAAGAGAUUCCUUAAAUGAUUUAUGGUUAAAAUUUCUAUGAUGGCAGUCCUGGAAAUCAUAAAAGAAUAAAUACAUCCU
ensembl:lincRNA